UUGUUUUAAUAAUAAAGAGUGUAUGCCUGUGAAGGCGUACACAUGCACACAUAUAAUUGUACACAUGUAAAUUUUGUUUUUUGCUUUAAUAAUUGAUAAUGUACACAUGUGAAGAGUGUACAUUGUUUUAAUAAUACAGAGUGUACACUUGUGAAGAUGUACACAUGUACACAUAUAAUUGUACACAUUUUGCUAUUUUUAAAUGAGUGGCAAUUUUGUAAUUUGAUCAUCAUUUUCCUAUUAGGGUAUCCUGCGUUUCUGCAACUAAAUCUCAGAGCCGCCAUUGAUUUUCUUCGUGCAAUCUUUUUUUUUUUGCGUUUUUACAUCUAGAACUUAAAAAUAUUAUAGUAAUUAACCAAUUAGAUCCAAAACAAAGCAAAAACAAGUUUUUUCAUAAUUUUUGAGUUUGACAAUUUAUAACCAAAAUGCCAUAGCUCUUAUUCGCCAUGCAUCAACCUUUCAAGAUAAUAGCAGCUUAAUCUCUUAACUUGACAGAUCUGUGAAAAAAAAACAGAAGUGUAAAAAGUGAGAUAAAGAAGAUGAAUACUUGAGCAGAUCUGAGUAGUCCAUAUAAAAGGUAUGAAGAUCUAACGAUUGAGAUAUGAAACAUAUAUAAGUUUUGUCAUAAAUCUGAGAAAUAAACUGAACCGUUGAGAUGGGUGUUAGAUGAGUGGUGUAGGUUGGUUCCCGUGAAAACAUUAGUUUUGUUGGUCAGAAUAUUAGUUGGAAGAGAACUACUUUGAUUAGCUUAAAAGGAAGAUGUUAGGAAAAACUACCUUGGUAUAACAAAGUGUCUUAUUCUGUUAUAAAAAACUUAAAACUGUCUUUCACUGUAAUAUUCUCAUAUCUCUCCGUAGAUAUAAGAAGAUUUACACUUUAAAGCACAUUUCAUCUUUAUAUUACAUGCUGGGACACUUCUAUCUACAAGGACACUUUUUCUUAAACAUCAGCUGAUUCUUAACCUAUCUAGUUUGAUUGUAAUGACUAUUUCACUAACUAAAAAAUCAAUGUUUUUCGUUUUGGCGGGCUGUAUUCUUGGCCAUUGAUUUUAUUUAGAUUGAAGGGACUAGAUUCAUCAGACAAAAAUGUGAUAUGACAUAUAUCUGCCAUAUAAAUCUAACCAUUAGAUCAUUUGAUAUCCAACCAAAAUUGAUGGCUCAGAUUGCAUCUUCUACCAACCACAAAUAGUUUUCACUCUCUUCCUCCACAUCUGAAAGGAUUUUACAGACUAAAAUUUCAAGAUAGAAACAAAGCAAAUCUCAAAACAGUCAUUAUCAGAAAACUUUGUAUCCUUUCAGAUUCAUUUAUAUUUUAUCUCAACAACAUAUUUUCCUCUUAAACCCUCGAUGAUGGUGACGAUGACUGGUGACGACGAGGCAGACGAAGCUGAUGCAGACAACGGCGGAGAAGCUGUCUCCCGACUAUAACAAGGCUCGAGAAUUGUGACAGUAUAAUCUACAUCAAAUUAAAGGUGGAUUGUUUAGCUUUCACGUCCGGUGAACUCUCCAUUCACUGAAAGCAGGAAUUUCUCAUCCCACCAAACUUGCUGAUGUCCAUCAACAAGAGUAUCCACAUGUACAUUCACUCUAGGGACAAGCUUCCCCAUCCAUUUGUACACCUUAGCCCAUGUACAACAAUGCCCCAAUUACUAGGAACCUUCUGAUAUCAGUAACUUGAGAUCCCCUAUCUCUUUGAGGACACACCUUAUGAAGCCGAUGAAAUCUCAGAUUUGGAUAUUUAUGGAAACAAAGAUUUCUCAAGUCACAUAUAUUCUACAAAGAUUUUUCUUUCAUAUUUUAUUUGUUUUGUUUGCUUGUCUAUGUAAAAGUUUCCAAUUUGCUUCAUAAAUUAUAAGUUGCUAUAGUUAUUUAUUGUUGUACACAACACAUGUUUUUUCCAUUUUUGUACACAUGAAAUUUGAGUUGUUAGUAACUAUUAUUUUACUGAAGUUUACACAAUUA